AGCGACUUCAGUCACGUGAUCUAAUUGGGUUGACAUUUGUCGUUGAAGUCCGUUUAAGCAUGAGUCCUAUUUUCCUCUGCUCGGAAUCGUUCAUUUAGUGCUCUAAUUUAGUGUUCUAGUCCCAUCUCUGGGAUGAACCACGUUUGGCCGCUUCGAGUAUGUUCCUUCAGUGCUUGUUUAUGUUCAUCGUCAUCCUUUUCAUCGUAUUUUUGCUUGUUCUCUUUUACUUUUAUUUCUCUAUCUAAUGGUUGCCAUGACUCGAGUGGAGCGAAAUUUCCCACCGGACGGAGACUGACUUUUAUCGAAUGAAAAUUAUGGGAAAAGCGGGGAAAGUAUUUUCCUUCGGUGGAAGUGUCAAUGUGAAAACGGAUAAUCGGACAUUGAGUUGAAAUUGGAUGAUGGACUUUUCGACUCAUUAAUCCGUACGUCUGCAUAGACUAUACUGAUUUUUUGGGCACGAUUUAGAAGUUGUUUCGAAAAAUCAAUUCAUUAGACUGAUUCUGAUUCGUAAGACGCAAGUGUUGAGAUGGAUCCGUUCCUUUGAAACAAGCUCUUCCGUCAAGCCAAACCAAAGGAUAAAACAGCAUUCGAGCAAGUUGAAAAUGACUUUUCUCUUUUCAAUUAUUCAAAAUUUUCUUGAAAACUCAAAACCAAUUCAAUUCAGUCAACUAAUAAAUGGCAUUUUUGUGGUAUUAUGUUGGCCCUUUCCUCCUGUUUACGAUACUAGACACUCAGUUAUGCGGAGAUCACAGCCAAUUGUAAAUUAUUUCGUGUAUAAAGAUAUUUAAUAAUAAAUUAUUGAUAACAUUAUCCUCAAAAACUUUGAACAAUA